GUAUACGUGCGUAAUCUGUAGCUGCACUUCGAAUAGCGGAGGGAAAGAGAGACACAUGGAGAAAGAAAGAACGUAGUUUAUAAGAGCGGGUUGAAGCUCAAAUCCUUAGUGCCAAUCCCAGUUUCAGUUUUUGGAUACCGCAAAAAAAGGGUUAUCUUUUCGGUAGAGAGAAAUUGAGCUAACCAGGCUGAGUGCCUUAAAGGCAUCGCAUACUAACACUAAAUACAACGCACAUUGGCAUCGAUUUUUCGAAGGGAGAUGUACAGUGGCCCGUGAAAACAGCGGCAAUAACUGCUAGCCCAACUCGAUAAAGUAUAACGAGGGCUCGUAACGACACGGAGUGAGAUCAUUCGCAAAUGUGACAGUAAUACCUGAGUCGGCUUCAGUAACAGCUUUGAUAGGCGUCAAGUAUUGCGCCUUGAUGUUUGACGACCAGAAGGUGCUCAGUGGAUCUUCGACAUUUCUACUUCCUCAUUAUUUUUCCUUUUCAACAAGCACAAUAUAAGGCAGUACAGUGACGGUCACUCAAACCCCAUAGGCCGUGUAGAAUGUUUUGCGAUAGGAAAAAAGAAAGCUAGGUUUAGUGAGUGCACUGCACAGCACUUAAUUAAGACUGGAUGCGUUGGCAAUGCGAGGUUCAUGAGUCUAAAGAGGUGGCAGCAUUUAUUCUCUGUUUAUAAAACUAUUUUGCUCUUUUACGGAUAGAAUCCUUUCGUCUACAUGGCGAAAGCUAUGAUUAUACUUAAAGGAAACGUCUGAUUGAAACGCUCUUACGCUUCAGACCCGCUAUUAAUCAAUGUCGCUUGUAGGCCCGUCGUGCUGAGUAGGUUCAUUCCUCGCGUAAGUUAUUUUAGCUUAUUCGGGUUGUGCCUUUUGAACUAGUUACAAUUCGAAAGCAGUUGAUUGAGUCAAUCGUCUGUAAAUACUCUAUUAUCCUAAUCAGCUUGACCGAUAUUGGAAUACGCGCGCCAACCAAUUGCCGAAGCGACUGGCGGCUUCGAAGUUCUGCGGCAGAACUUACUUUUUUCCGCUGGUCUAUCCUUCUGUCUCUCGCUCUUUACCUAUUUGUAUUACUGCUAUUAGUAGCUACUCCUGCAGACGGACGAAAUCAACCGAGUAAAACCAACGAGCGUAAACACGUCAAGCAACAUCUAUUGCAUGAAAUUGAAAAGCACAGCGUGACUGUCCGGUCACGAAAAAUCGUAUGCGAUAAAACAGGUCCAAAACGAGGACAAAGAGAAGCAGUGGAAGUGCUGCUAUGCCAUGAGAUGAGCUAGUGCCAGAAACGCACCGCAAACAAUUAUGAACAAUGACUUCUAUGACAACUACUGUGAUUAUUACAAAUACUACAAAUACACCCGGGACGACGCCGUAGCUCCUUCUGACUACAGUUGACGCUUGCUGUCAUAUACUCCUGUUGAUCGUACGACGAUAACAGCUGCAGCAGCAGCAGCAGCAGCAGCAGCAACGAUCAUAGCCAACCAAACAACAACACGUCGCCGCGAUAUUUUAUCAACUCUAGCCUGUCGUUACUGUUGCAAUUAGAAUCAUAUACAAUAGGAACAGGUGCUUCCCUACGGCAAUGGAGCAGUGGCUGCACAUCGAAAUUUCCCGCUAUAAUUAUUAUAGUUGGAGUUAAAUUCCAACCGUGAUGCUACUAUCCCUGAAGCAAGCUGGCAAUUAACCGACUAUCGGAAAGUCUCCGUUUCUACAGUUGUCAGUAGGCCCAGCUGCUAAAGAACAACGAAGUAUCAACUGGCCAUGUCCCUUCUUCAGCUAGCGCGAAUCAGUGAGAACACAACAGUUGAGAACGGACGUGAUUGCGGAAUAGUAAAUAUGUCUUUCAUCCAUAAAGUGCAUGCGGAAAAGUGCGUCGCGCGUUAAAAAAGAAAGAAAUUACGACUAGAUCAUAGUGUUAUUGAUCGGAGUGCGUGCUGAAGCAACUGAGGGAUUGUGCGCACGCAUCAGUGCCCCGAAACCGCUGUCUUAACUCACCUUCAGUGAAGUGGAGCAUGCAUUUGAGUUGACUUCAAUGCCCAUUCGUAGCAGCCAGAUCGAUCAAUCGGCUAAGCAGUGAACGAAUGUGUCAUAUCCGAUACGCACAGAACGUUCGAGGUAAAUCGGGAAACAUUUUUACGGCUUGUCGUAGUGGCGUUCGUCCAUCGGCUAUGCGUAAUGAAGAGGGCAAAUUGUUUCCAGGACAGGAUAACAAGUUCAUCAUGACGGACACAGCCCACUUCAGUCUUUUUCAAUGAAGCUCGACCUUGUCGAAACUAGCGCAUCAUCAUGGUGAACGAUACGACGUUGAACGGCAGAAAAAUCGCUGAUGGUACAACGACGAAAAUCCUGAAGCAAGGAAAGACUGCUUGUCUGACCAGCCGUUGGUGCGACAAAAUACCACGAAGUAAAAAGAAAGGGAACAUCUUCGGUAUUGUCGGAGCCCACGUACCCAGCGCCACACCCACAAACGUCCAUGUCUACGCAGCGCGAAUCGUUCACACUCAGCGGUUCAUAUAAGCUUCGGAGUCGCAGCGGUCGCCGCUCUACGGGUCUGUGGGUCCUCCUGGUCGUGGUACCCACCGUUCUACACUUACGCUGCUUUCAGUUUUAGGACAAAUGAAAUCAGAGAUAAGGAAAGAGAUCCGAGAUAGAGAGAACUGCUUCAUUCAACCGGAGCCCGAAUAGCAGACUGUUAACACUUGGACCGUGUCGCAGUAAAUGAGCAGGCGAAUCCGUCACAGUGGCCUUUUCCGCGUUCAACCGCCCUAGCCUCGGAGUUUUCAGAAGCUAGCCCUAACCUCGGAAGCUCCCGUUUGUGGCCGAUCCAAAACCUAUGUGUAACGAUCCAUACCCCCCUCCACCUCCUGCGGGGACAAAUAAUGGCGACGACAGAGGUAGCUUGGCAAUUGCGACUCUCGGCAGCAAGGAGCUGCCGAGUCGGCACACGAAGGUCAAUUAAGAGAAAUAUCACCAACCGAAAAACGUAGGGGCGCUAACGACGAAAAGAGGAGAUGAGAGAAGGAAACGCCGAUAGAAAAGACGAAAAUAGCAGUGCGCAAGCGAGACCUGGGCAGAAGUUAGGAUACGCACAAGUUAAGAAAAAGAAGUUGGUUUAACAUGUCGAUUCUCGUGAACCUGCUGUCUAUCGUUGCUUACUGUUUGUAAAGAUUUCGCCACCGCUGACAAUUCUCACCGACUUGAUCGUCGUAGACGUUCGCAGAGACGAUCAAGCCCGUUGCUCCCUGUUCGUGUCCGACGUUAGCGGAAACACCAGAGGGUAUUAAAAGGCGACAAACGACAUCGAAAACUUUCACUGCAGCGUUUGUUCAUGGGGCGCCUUUGAAUUGCCAUCGAUCGAGAUUGCAUCGAAACCGAGAUCUUUCCUUAUAUAUUGUCAAAAUGUAAAGGUUCCCGAAUAGAAUAGAAUUUUCAAAUCAAAACAGUGUGAAUACAAAGAAACAGACGCGGGAACAAGAAAAACAUGCUUGAAUUAGUUUCGAAGUACAAAUAGCGUUUGUAAAUAUCUGAAUGCAGUAUGUUUGCGGUGACUACCAGUGUAUUCUGGGACAAUAAGUUUUUGCUGCUGUAAAACUGCGUCAAGGGUUUUUAUAAGCUCCGUUGUGAUCAGCGGUAGCUGAAUCAAAAUAUCCUCUAAACACAUUUAAGAAAAAGUCAUCCACGAUCAGUAGAGUUUGAUGCUUAUGCACGGUUGAUUUGAAAAGGCGGAUAAGCACAUAAACAAAACA